rnacentral:rRNA from 1 species
AUGGACCCCGAGAAGCGCGGCUACAAGUUCCAGGAGUUUGUGGCGCACGAUGCUGAAGUGAGGUCCUUGGCCAUCGGCAAGAAGUCGAGCCGUGUGUUCAUUACUGGUGGCAGUGACCGCAACGUCAACCUGUGGGCAAUUGGCAAGCAGACUCCUCUCCUGAGCUUGUCAGGCCACACAAGCUCGGUCGAGGCUGUAGAGUUUGAUACAGCAGAGGUGCUUGUGCUUGCUGGCUCAUCAAACGGCUCCAUCAAGCUCUGGGACUUGGAAGAAGCUAAAGUUGUGCGGUCUCUCACUGGGCAUAGAUCGAGUUGCACUGCUGUCGAAUUCCAUCCAUUCGGCGAAUUUUUUGCAUCUGGUUCUUCAGAUACAGAUCUUAAGAUCUGGGACAUAAAGAAAAAAGGAUGCCUUCAUACAUAUAAGGGUCACAGAGGAGCAAUUAAAUCAAUCCGAUUUACACCCGAUGGGCGAUGGAUCGUCACCGGUGGAGAAGAUAACAUUGUGAAGGUGUGGGAUCUGACAGCUGGAAAGCUCUUACAUGAUUUCAAGUUCCACAGUGGUCAAAUCCGAUGCAUUGAUUUUCAUCCUCAAGAAUUUUUGCUUGCAACAGGCUCAGCUGAUCGAACAGUGAAGUUUUGGGAUCUUGAAACUUUUGAAUUGAUAGGUUCUGCUGGACCCGAGGAUACUGGUGUACGUUCUAUGGUCUUUCACCCAGAUGGAAAAACCCUUUUCUGCGGAUUAGAGCAAAGCUUAAAGGUAUUCUCCUGGGAACCAGUAAGAUGUCAUGAUGCUGUUGACAUGCGAUGGAACAAUUUAGCUGACCUUAGUAUUUACGAAGGAAAACUGUUGGGAUGCUCGUACCAUGAACGCCGUGUUGGUGUUUGGGUUGCUGAUAUAUCACUCAUUGAACCCUAUGCUCUUGGUGUUUUGCCAAAAGCAAAUUUUUUUGCUGAGCUUGUGGAUUCUGUGGAUGAUAAUCCUGUGAAACCAAAUGGUAGCACUGCAAAGCCCAUUCGUGCUGUAGCAACAUCACAUCCAAAAAACAUGUACAAAGUCCAGGAGUCAGGAAUUGCUGAAAGCAGAGUUCGGGCCUUACAUUUAACUCCAGGAAGUACAGACAAAAUAAAGAAAGAUAGGAGCAGCAGCAUUCCUCGAAGACCUGAUUCAUCUGUCAAACCAUCUACUCCAGUACGACGUAUGAAGCCCGUCGAUAGUCCUUCCACAAAUUUAAAAACAGCAGAACGCAGUUUCGGACAGCGGGACAUCCAAUUAUUAUCUCGCACAGGGAUGGCUAUUAAUUCUUCAACCACUAAAAAAGCUCCGCCUACAGAGUCGGUAGCUGUAAAAGAUAUUUACACUACAUCACAGGCUGUUUCUGUGCCUGUUGUUGUUCCUAGAGACAUUUUGGAGGACAAAUCAGCAGGCAGUAUUCAUAGAGGAAUUGGAGGCAGAACUGCAGUCCCAGAUGAUUUUUACAGUCCAGUUCACUUGAGAAAACGUUUACCUAGUGGCGAUAGUGUCAGCUCAGUAAAAUCCAUGCUCGCUGAGCCUGAUGUUUGCUCGGAGGGUUUGUCUGGGUUAAAGUUCUCCUUUGGACUAACUCCAAAUGACAAGAAAGAAGAAUCUGAUGGUACUGAUAAAGGAGAAAUUAGACAAAUAGCAGAAAAGAUGGACAGAAUAGUAUCAUUUGAUCAUCCGGUGCAGUCAAAUGAUGACAAGGCAGCAUAUGAAUCACCGUGCUCGACGACAGGAACAGCCAGGGUCAAAUAUGUUAGAGGAGUUGCUGUGCCGUUAGGAAAAACUAAGUCUCUUGUUGAGAGAUUUGAAAAGAGAGAGAGUUCUAGCAUUGAUUGUUCAUCGCCAACUGGCUCUUGUGGUGAUCAUACAGUGAAAGCUGAUAGCCCUCCCACCAGUUUGGCAGAAGCAAGUCGCACAUAUGAAAGGGACUUGCCAACAGUGGAUGAGAUGACGAGUCCAAUCGAUUUGGUGCGGAACCAUGAUGAAUUUAUUAAUGUUGUAAAAUCUCGGUUGACAAAGCUAGAGAUGAUGCGGCAUGUCUUUAACCUAAAUGGCAUCAAAGGAGCAAUUGCUGCGGUCGCAAAGUUGCCUGAUAUCGCUGUUCAAGCUGAUGUUGUUAGUACUCUCAAGGGAAAACUUGGUCUUUUCAACCUAGAUAUUUUCUCAAGCCUUCUGCCUGUUCUUGCUGGGUUACUGAACAGCAAAACUGAAAGGCAUGCUAUUGUUGCUUUGGAAAUGUUAUUGGAUCUUAUAAAGAUUUUUGGACCGGUUAUUCAUUCAACAUUGUCAAGUAGUUCACCUGUUGGAGUAGAUCUUCAAGCCGAACAAAGGUUGCAGCGUUGCACCCGGUGUUUUAACCAUUUGCAAAAGAUUGUGCAAGCUCUACAACCGUUGAUGAUGCGGAGCGGCCAGUCGGCGCAGCUUGCUCAAGAGCUGAACAUGUCCUUGCAAGACCUGGUGGUCUUCUGA